rnacentral:rRNA from 1 species
GUGUCAGCCGCCGCGGUAAUACGUAGGGUCCGAGCGUUGUCCGGAAUUAUUGGGCGUAAAGGGCUCGUAGGCGGUUUGUCGCGUCGGGAGUGAAAUCUUACAGCUUAACUGUGAACUUGCUUCCGAUACGGGCAGACUUGAGGCAUUCAGGGGAGAACGGAAUUCCUGGUGUAGCGGUGAAAUGCGCAGAUAUCAGGAGGAACACCGGUGGCGAAGGCGGUUCUCUGGGAAUGUACUGACGCUGAGGAGCGAAAGUGUGGGGAGCGAACAGGAUUAGAUACCCCCGUAGUCC